rnacentral:rRNA from 1 species
AGGACGAACGCUGGCGGCGUGCCUAACACAUGCAAGUCGAACGAGGUCCAAGGAAGCUUGCUUCCUGAAGACCUAGUGGCGAACGGGUGAGUAACACGUGAGAAACCUGCCUCGGAGUGGGGAAUAACUCGGGGAAACUCGAGCUAAUACCGCAUACCUUCACAUGAUCGCAUGGUCGAGUGAAGAAAGAAUUUCGCUCUGAGAGGGUCUCGCGGCCUAUCAGCUUGUUGGUGGGGUAACGGCCUACCAAGGCAACGACGGGUAGCUGGUUUGAGAGAACGAUCAGCCACACUGGGACUGAGACACGGCCCAGACUCCUACGGGAGGCAGCAGUGGGGAAUCUUGCGCAAUGGGCGAAAGCCUGACGCAGCAACGCCGCGUGCGGGAUGACGGCCUUCGUGGUUGUAAACCGCUCUCAGCAGGGACGAAAAUGACGGUACCUGCAGAAGAAGCCCCGGCUAACUACGUG